CACGAGGUAAACGGGUGGGACCGCAAUGCGGUCGGUCAGACGGAUUCAACCGGGAGGGCGGCGCAGCGGGGCGUUGCGGAGCCGACGAGGCCCGUGCGCACCGCUCGGCUCUAGAGCGCUGCCUCCGAUCCCGGUGCACUUUCGUCGGGUCGACGGUCACGGCCGGCUCUCCGGUGGUCAGAAGCCGUGUUCGGGGGAAGGUGGACUCGGGCUCCGCGCCCGAAGAGCUUACAGCCCCCUGCACGCGCGGGCCCGUCGGAGGGCCGAGGAAGGGAAAAGCUCGCCGCGCUCCAACCGCCCGUCGGGUCGCCUGCGUUCGGUUCAUGCCGGGCUGGACUGGCUUGCCAGUGCUGUCUCCCCGACUGCGGUCGCGGGAGGGCUCGACUGCGGCGAGGACCGCCAAAGCCCCGUGACAAAUCGGUCGGAAACCCACCGGACC
rnacentral:rRNA from 1 species